UCUGGUUGAUCCUGCCAGUAGUCAUAUGCUUGUCUCAAAGAUUAAGCCAUGCAUGUCUAAGUAUAAAUAGUAUACAGUGAAACUGCGAAUGGCUCAUUAAAACAGUUAUAGUUUAUUUGAUAAUUGACAAUUACAUGGAUAACCGUGGUAAUUCUAGAGCUAAUACAUGCUUAAACGCCCGACUUUAUGGAAGGGUGGUAUUUAUUAGACUGAAGCCAAUAUUCCUUGUGUCUAUUGCGGUGAUUCAUAAUAACUGAUCGAAUCUCUUUUUGAGAUAAAUCAUUCAAGUUUCUGCCCUAUCAGCUUUCGAUGGUAGUGUAUUGGACUACCAUGGCAGUAACGGGUAACGAAGAAUUAGGGUUCGAUUUCGGAGAGGGAGCAUGAGAAACGGCUACCACAUCUAAGGAAGGCAGCAGGCGCGUAAAUUACCCAAUCCUGACUCAGGGAGGUAGUGACAAGAAAUAGCAAACCGGGAACCUCAUGGUUUCACGGUAUUGCAAUGAGAACAAUUUAAAACCCUUAGCGAGAAUCAAGUGGAGGACAAGUCUGGUGCCAGCACCCGCGGUAAUUCCAGCUCCACUAGCGUAUAUUAAAGUUGUUGCAGUUAAAAAGCUCGUAGUUGAACCUCUGUCUGGGGCUAGUUUUGGCUUUGGUCAGGCUAGUUUUAGGCAUCCGCCUACAAGACUUAGAGGGCAUUCAGUUGUUCACUAGGAGGAGUAGGCAUUUUACUUUGAAAAAAUUAGAGUGUUUAAGGCAGGCAAUCGCCCGCAUAUAUUAGCAUGGAAUAAUAGAAUAGGACACUUUUCCAUUUCGUUGGUUAUUGGAAUCGUGUAAUGAUUAAUAGGGACAGUUGUGGGCAUUUGUAUUUAAUUGUCAGAGGUGAAAUUCUUGGAUUUAUUAAAGACAAACUAACGCGAAAGCAUUUGCCAAGGAUGUUUUCAUUAAUCAAGAACGAAAGUUAGGGGAUCAAAGACGAUCAGAUACCGUCCUAGUCUUAACUAUAAACUAUUCCGACUCAAUGUUUGACUGGCUUAUAUAACCAGUUGAGCGUUGUAUGAGAAAUCAAAGUCUUUAGGUUCUGGGGGGAGUAUGGUUGCAAAGCUGAAACUUAAAGGAAUUGACGGAAGAGCACAACCAGGAGUGGAUUCUGCGGCUUAAUUUGACUCAACACGGGGAAACUUACCAGGUUAAAACAAUAGUGGGAUUGACAGUUUGAGAGCGCUUUCUUGAUUGGUUGGGUGGUGGUGCAUGGCCGUUCUUAGUUGGUGGAGUGAUUUGUCUGCUUAAUUGCGUUAACGAACGAGACCUUAACCUGCUUACUAGACUGGCGAUCAUCAAUCGUUAGCUCUUCUUAGAGGGAC
rnacentral:rRNA from 1 species